rnacentral:lncRNA from 1 species
CGGAGACAGACAGUAACUUCAGCAAAAUCAGAUAUUUGGGCUGCUUGACCUCAUUGCGUGAUUGCUAUGAAUUAACAAGACUUUGUGGGAAAAGGGAACUUGCCUUUUGAGCUUUGUACCAAAGACCUGGGUAAAAACUAACCAUCUCAGUCUUUCCUGAGUACUUGGAAACUGCCGAGACCCCUGCUAAUGUGCUGACUGGUCGCUAUGGGCAGACGGUACCCGGAGGCUCACUGUCACCCAAGCAGCUCAUAUUUCAAAUUAUAACCUAUUUCCUGCUCCACUGCUGGCGUCCAGUGAUCCAUGUCAGAAGUACUUCCAGGUCAGACACACUUUCACGUUUUUCAAUGCAGAGAAGCAGUUGAAUAUU